GAUGAACAAACUUCUGGAGACGAUGAUGUCGACGAAAGUAUGGAUGCAGAUGGUGUUGAUGUAGAAGAUGAUAAUGUAGAGCAAGAAGAAGAUGUUGACACUGAUAAUAUUCAGAGUGAUGUUGUGGAGGAGGCAACUGAUGACGAGAGAUUGGAC